GGUAGCGUGGCCGAGCGGUCCAAGGCGCUGGUUUAAGGCACCAGUCUCUUCGGGGGCAUGAGUUCGAAUCCCAUCGCUGCCA
rnacentral:tRNA from 1 species